rnacentral:rRNA from 1 species
UACGUAGGUGGCAAGCGUUAUCCGGAUUUACUGGGUGUAAAGGGCGUGUAGGCGGGACUGCAAGUCAGAUGUGAAACCCAUGGGCUCAACCCAUGGCCUGCAUUUGCAACUGUAGUUCUUGAGUGAUGGAGAGGCAGGCGGAAUUCCGUGUGUAGCGGUGAAAUGCGUAGAUAUACGGAGGAACACCAGUGGCGAAGGCGGCCUGCUGGACAUUAACUGACGCUGAGGCGCGAAAGCGUGGGGAGCAAACAGG